rnacentral:rRNA from 1 species
AACGAACGCUGGCGGCAUGCCUAACACAUGCAAGUCGAACGAGACCUUCGGGUCUAGUGGCGCACGGGUGCGUAACGCGUGGGAAUCUGCCCUUGGGUUCGGAAUAACUUCGGGAAACUGAAGCUAAUACCGGAUGAUGACGUAAGUCCAAAGAUUUAUCGCCCAAGGAUGAGCCCGCGUAGGAUUAGCUAGUUGGUGAGGUAAAGGCUCACCAAGGCGACGAUCCUUAGCUGGUCUGAGAGGAUGAUCAGCCACACUGGGACUGAGACACGGCCCAGACUCCUACGGGAGGCAGCAGUGGGGAAUAUUGGACAAUGGGCGAAAGCCUGAUCCAGCAAUGCCGCGUGAGUGAUGAAGGCCUUAGGGUUGUAAAGCUCUUUUACCCGGGUAUGAUAAUGACAGUACCGGGAGAAUAAGCUCCGGCUAACUCCGUGCCAGCAGCCGCGGUAAAGUGACUACUG